CUGGUUACAUGAUGAGUAAAACAAAAAAUCACCAUCUUUCGGCUGACAGGUGUGAUGAUUUGUUUUUUUCUGAGUAGAUG
rnacentral:snoRNA from 1 species